rnacentral:rRNA from 1 species
AGAACGAACGCUGGCGGCAGGCUUAACACAUGCAAGUCGAACGCCCCGCAAGGGGAGUGGCAGACGGGUGAGUAACGCGUGGGAACGUGCCCUUCGCUUCGGGAUAGCCUCGGGAAACUGGGAGUAAUACCGAAUACGCCGUAUUGGGAAAGAUUUAUCGGCGAAGGAUCGGCCCGCGUUGGAUUAGCUAGUUGGCGGUGUAAUGGACCACCAAGGCGACGAUCCAUAGCUGGUCUGAGAGGAUGAUCAGCCACACUGGGACUGAGACACGGCCCAGACUCCUACGGGAGGCAGCAGUGGGGAAUCUUGGACAAUGGGCGCAAGCCUGAUCCAGCCAUGCCGCGUGAGUGAAGAAGGCCUUAGGGUUGUAAAAACUCUUUCGCCGGUGAAGAUAAAUGACGGUAACCGGAGAAGAAGCCCGGCUAACUUCGCGCCAGCAGCCGC